AGUAUCAUAUCUUACCCACAGGUAAUGUUUGACUUCUACGUAAAUAUAGGUGCUAGGUCUUCUUGAGAAGACAAGUCCCAUAAUUUUUUAUGGGCACAAGAUGCACACACACACAGAGACAUAUUGAGAGGAAGAGAGAACUUGUUAGCAGAUUUGUUGGCAAGGUCUGUUAGUAGUCUUACUGUAGGAGUGUAGGCGUGAAUUCAACCAGGGCCUUGGUCUCUCAGUCUUCACCUGCUAACAAAAUUAUUGGUCUAUCGGAAAUUGAUUGCCCUUAAGUUUUAGGGUUUGUAAAAUAGUCAUCUCCAUUUGUUUACUGUUGAAAAUUUGAUGAAAGAUUGGAUUGACAACAAAUGCGGAUCUUCUAGUGGGUUUGCUUUGAAAUCCUUGAUGCUCUAGCUAUGAGGUUUAGCAGUUGUUUUUGUGAGGAGAAGGAACUUUGUUGGUACUGCUUCCACUGAGUGUUACUUUCUUUUGUCUUGCCACAUGUUGUACUUUCAUGGUUUCAUGGUAUUAUAUGAUAAUAUCUGUCUGUCCUGGGUUUGUAAAGAUCCUUGAUUUCACAUAAGAGCGGUAUUUGGCACAGUUGAAUGGAUCUUCAUGAAAUCAGGAUGAAAUUGCUUCAGUCUUCCUUUAGUGGUAAACGAGCAUAAUUACUCGCGCUAUGCAGCGGAUUCACACUAUUUUUCAACAAUUAAAAUUUCAGCUCUCUUAUCAUUAAAUUAAAACUUAUAUAAUUGAAUUUUUAAUUUUAACUCAAUGUACCUUAUUAUAAGUCAAUUUUGAAUGUUUAAGAUUUGAUUCUUUGUUAUUAAUAUACUACUAUUAUGCUUCAAUGUGUUUUUCUUUUUCUAAGUUUUUCCUCUAAUUAGUU
rnacentral:misc_RNA from 1 species